rnacentral:lncRNA from 1 species
GAGGUUUGACAUCCAUAGAAUUCGCGCGUGCACGAAAGAGGCCCAGUCUUCUGCGCGUGCACAUAAUUGAACAUAUUCUGGUCCAAACACAACGCCAAAGAUAUGGGGAAAAGGGGUAACAAACCCAAGGGGACCGGUUUCCAAUUAGUUGACAGCAAUAUCUCCUGAAAGUGCUACGACAAUCUCAGACUCAGCUUGUACAAUUAGUUGACGCAAUCAAACAUCACACUUGAAAAGAUUGAAGAGCCUGCCUGUCACCUCAGACUUCGUUGACAAGCACUUACCGUUGCACUGAAGCUAGUAGCAGAGAGCUUUGCGUUUUGAAUGGACGACUGUAAACAGAACAAUCCACAAGCAGAGUCUGUUGCAACAUGCACUUGUACGCAGCUUCCUAACUUCUAUCGUGACCAGGUCUCUCUAAUCAUGUGAAAUGCAUGAUCCAAUUUCUCAUUCGUACCCAACAAUCCACAAGCGUUGUUCUCAUGUCACAAGAUGAACAAGAGCUUCCGUUCAGAUUGAAAGUGCACAGAAGCAGAAUUGUAAUAAAUUCACUCAUCACAAGAUACCAAGUCCAUGACACAAUUCUUGAAAUAGAACCCGCCCCUUCGUUCUGAUGAUUUCAGCGUCAUUCAGAUACAAACUCGUGCGGCAGGAGUACCCUGUGUUUUUUCGCAGCAGGAGAAAAAAAAAAUCAUAAGUGCAGAACUACCACCGCACCCCACAAUGUACUAAUUAAGGAGGUUUUCGUGGAUUUCAUUUAAGAAACGUACACAUUCCGACUCAAUUAUCCUACAAUGCUCAGCCUUUAUACUUGUAAGACCAUCUCUCUCGAAAAAAUGUAGCCCCUCUACUUCUACCGACCUCUGGUUCCUUCAAAGUUUCUUUUAAAUGAAUGUUAACCUCGAGAAAAUCACUACCUGAAGCAAUAAUAGCGAUGGGAUACCCAAAUCAAGAGUACAUACUACGUUUCCGGCGGUAAUUGCUCAGCGCUGCUCGUUCUACAUUUCCUUAAAAAUCCUUGUCACCAUCACCAAAAAUCAAGACUCAAACUCUUGAUCGAGCAAAAAGUUACGUUGAUUUCAUUGAUUCCCAAUAAACAUCCUUGCGCUCCCAAGACAUUGCCGGGCUCUCGUGAGAGGGUCCAUCAGCUAGAUAAAUACCACUUCGCAAAAUUCGUCGGCAGAGAGGGAGGAGGUCACAACCUGCUACCUGAAUUAGCAAGAACGAUGGAGGAAUCCUCACGAGAAAUACCAGUCUCACGUGUUACCCUCAAGCAGCGAGCGCAAAAUUCUGCACAGUCUCCUGCGCCAUGCCAUGUCGAUGGCGGACUGGCAAACGAUUGCGAUUUAUGUCUUGUUCGCGAUCACAAUCAGUUACCGGUACGCCUACAACACGGUCUACUACAUUACGCCCGACACCAUCACGCUCAGAAUUGCAAGUAGCUUGAUCGCCAUCACUCAGUCACGAAAUUCCUCCAGAUUCACCUUUCACUCCUCCUCCACAUUCGACCGCACAGUACAUCCAGUCUUCGUCAGAAAUCCAUAACGAUCUGCGAUCGUGGUCGUCCGCAGUUUCGAAAAAGCAAGCAUCGAUUUGCAGCAAAUAUUACAGAAAUCGUACUCGAACCCUAGCCCUAAACCUAAUUAAAGUAGGGCUAUAGUGUCAAAGACGAUCUUCAUG